GUAGGGCGCGGUGGCUCACGUCUGUAAUCCCAGCACUUUGGGGGCUGAGGUGGGCGGAUCGCUUGAGCCCAGGAGUUUGAGGCCAGCCUGGGCAACAUAGUGAGACCCUGUCUCUACAAAAAAAUUUUUUUUUUUUUUUUUUUGAGACGGAGUCUCGCGCUGUCGCCCAGGCUGGCCUCAAACUCCUGGGCUCAAGCGAUCCGCCCACCUCAG
rnacentral:SRP_RNA from 1 species